rnacentral:tRNA from 1 species
UGUCCUGGUAGCUCAGCUGGAUAGAGCAAUGGCCUUCUAAGCCAUCGGUCGGGGGUUCGAAUCCUCCCAGGACGC